GGUAUGUACGGUGGCCCUGAGAGGCCAAACGGACUGCAACUUCAGAAAACACUUGCAAAAAGAAAAAUGCUGCAAAAAGGAAAACGCUGCAAACACAAAAACGCUGCACUGCAACUUCAAGAAAAACGCUGCACUGCAAGAGAGGCCAAACGGACUGCAACUUCAGAAAACACUUGCAAAAAGAAAAAUGCUGCAAAAAGGAAAACGCUGCAAAAACAAAAACGCUGCACUGCAACUUCAAGACAAACGCUGCACUGCAACUUCAGAAAACACCUGCAAAAAGAAAAAUGCUGCAAAAAGAAAAACGCUGCAAAAAGAAAAAAUGCUGCAAAAAGAAAAAAUGCUGCAAAAAGAAAAACGCUGCAAAAGCACACAAAGCACAACGGAAAUAGGAAAAGACACAACGGAAAUAGGAAAAGACACAACGGAAAUAGGAAAAGACACAACGGAAAUGUUCCUGGGGAGACAAUAACCCGACGGACCAUUUGCACGAACCAAAACAUGCUAGCCAGUGCGCUGGGACUGCGAGACACUUCAAAGAAGUGGAGGAGAGGUUAAGAUGUAUUGUCCAUUCUGUGGAUUCCAGUUUGAGAACUUGACAAAAUUUUGCUGUUCCUGUGGAAAAGACAUAAGUUUUGUACCAGCUAAAGAUGCUUCCACAGAACAAGAACACUCAAGAGCCAAGACAGUUGUUCAGCAGUUCUUCAAGUACCGUGAAGGUAAAGAGGCAGAAAGGAGGAUGUUCUCAAAAUCCAAAAAGAAAUCAAUGAAAACAGUGAAGAUUUCUGUUGGGAUCAUGAACAAACAAAAGACUGGCAUGAGACCCAUAAGAGGGAAAUCACUACCAUUACAUGUUGACCCAAGCUGGUCAUCUGAGAGGCUGUUGGGUGCUGC
ensembl:lncRNA